CAGACUCCUACGGGAGGCAGCAGUGGGGAAUAUUGCACAAUGGGCGCAAGCCUGAUGCAGCCAUGCCGCGUGUGUGAAGAAGGCCUUCGGGUUGUAAAGCACUUUCAGUCGUGAGGAAGGUAGUGUAGUUAAUAGCUGCAUUAUUUGACGUUAGCGACAGAAGAAGCACCGGCUAACUCCGUGCCAGCAGCCGCGGUAAUACGGAGGGUGCGAGCGUUAAUCGGAAUUACUGGGCGUAAAGCGCAUGCAGGUGGUUUGUUAA
rnacentral:rRNA from 1 species